AAACUCCACUCUUGUCCCUCUCCCAUGGCAGACACUCUGUUCCUUUUUCUAUUUUUGAUAAAACUCCAAACAUCUUCAUCCCUAGGCUAGAAAAUAUCAUUCCAUUAUAAUGAAUCUUCAUACACCAAACUUGGUCAAACUAGGCUCAUAACAAAAAGCCAGGAUUACUUUUCAGAGAAUGAGAUUUGGUCUCUGCAUCAAAGAUUUGAUCCAAUGCAAAUGGUUUUUUUUGUUCAAAAUUCAAAUGGUUAGUCCGAUUUCCGCUCAAUGGUUCCCCAGCCCUAAAAUCGUCUCUAUAAAUACAUCCUAUUGGUGUCUAUUUUGGAUAUGUUUUGGAGCUACACCUUUACCCCCAAAAAUGGUUGGAGCCGCCUACUUUCACCUUAAAUUAAAUGGUUUUUAGCCGCACUUUUACCCCAAAAUUUGAUGGUUUUUAGCUGCCUCUUACUCCUAAACUUUUUUUGAAGUCGCUGCCUUUCUCUUUAAACAAAAAGUUUUAACCGCUUCUCGAACCUAAAAUCGCUACUUUGAGCCGUCUUCUCUCCUUAUUCUGUUCACGUUUUAUUCUUCAACAGACUUCCCAAAAGCUUAUCCUUUCCCUAAAUACUUCGUAUUUCUUUUCCAAACUCUCCAACAAAGUUGUUCGUAGUAAAAGUUUCGAGGUCGGAAUUUGAGAGCAUCUAUGAUCACCGCCCUCAGUUCACUGCUCUGAAAUAGUCUUAAUUGGAGACUGUCGCAAUGGAGUCUCCCACCACCACGUGGAGUCAUCGCAUAACAUAUCCCAUAGAUGUAUCGGAUAGCUAGAAAACAAGCGAAUUACUUGAGGUUGCCUAUGACGGCUUUUGUUUUUACUUACUCUGUCUGAUGUUGUUAAUUUAUGUGAAUUGUUUUGUUUGAACCUAUGAUUGAUGAUUAAUUUUAUCAUUUAAAAUUACAGUUUUUAAUAA